UCUUCCGUAGUAUAGUGGUCAGUAUGCAAGCUUGUCACGCUUGUGACCCGGGUUCAAUUCCCGGCGGGAGAG
rnacentral:tRNA from 1 species